rfam:Lactobacillus hominis DSM 23910 = CRBIP 24.179, type strain:CRBIP 24.179, WGS project CAKE01000000 data, contig: 10
GAGAACAAGAAGAAGCACCCGCUUCUCGCCUAAGUUGAUAUACCUCUGGGCUGAUCGAUAAUAUCUGUUGAUUAAAAGCGGGCGUUAACUUUGCCCGCUUUUUUCUUGUCCU